CCUACGGGAGGCAGCAGUGAGGGAUAUUGCACAAUGGGGGGAACCCUGAUGCAGCGACGCCGCGUGCGUGAAGAAGCGUCUCGGCGCGGAAAGCUCUAUCUGCAGGGAAGAAGACGGAGGGUAGCGGACUAAGAAGCACCGGCUAACUACGUACCAGCAGCCGCGGUACGACGUAGGAGGCACGCGUUAUCCGGGUUUAUUGGGAGUAAAGGGAGCGCAGGCGGGAGAGCAAGCUAGGAGUGAAAGCCCGGGGCUCAACCGCGGGACUGCCUUUGGAACUGCGCGGCGGGAGUGCAGUAGCGGGAGGCGGAAUGGAUGGUGUAGCGGUGAAAUGCUUAGAGAUCAGACAGAACACCGGUGGCGAAGGCGGCCUACUGGACUGCGUCUGACGUUGAGGCACGAAAGCGUGGGGAGCAAACAGGAUUAGAUACCCGUGUAGUC
rnacentral:rRNA from 1 species